GGAUAUCAAAAAAAACUUUUAUACCCUACCAUCCGAAGACGAGAUUAUAACUCCUAAGGGAUUGUUGGUACUUUUGCAUGCUAAUGUUUUUAGGUAUGAUACUCCACCAAAUAAACUAGUUGUAUUUAUUAUCUUUUUAACCUUUGCAUUAACUAAUGCACAAACUAAUCAAAAGAAGAAUUAUAGUACAAAUGAAUGAAGGAAUAUAAUUCUUGCCGCAAGUUUAUCUUUCUUCUCUGUUUCACACUAUCCUUACACUACUCCAUCAUGAUUAAUCAUCCAUAUGUGAUUUCUUAAACACCAUGUGACCCGAUUCAUCCUUCUCAAAAAGCCGUUCAAUCAACUCGUUCCAGUUCUCUUUCAACUUGCUUUUCCCGGAAGAACCGAUUGAAGAUUCCCCACUCGAUCUUUGUGAUUCUUCUCCUUUGGAUCCUUCCUCCGUUUCAUCAAAAGUUCCAUACUGAGAAGGUGAAUAUGCAUGUGGCACAGACAGUGUCACUGCCCUUUGCAGUGCAGCCCUGUACUCCUCUGUAUGUUCUCGGGCCAAAGUCUCCUGCCGCUCCAUCCUCUGCUUUGCUGGGAUCUCCAUGAUUUGAUCUUUCUCUAGCAUUAGCUGAGUUUACGGUAAGGUGUAAGGAUAAACAAAAAUUUCUAAAGGAUUUCAACUGUCAAGAAAUUAAAUGAAUGACAGGGUAAAAGCAAGUGUGUUUUUUUUUAGGUCUCCAGUAGAACUAUAUAACUAUUUUUAGUCUCCACCAUACACUCAAAGCAUACAAAGAAAGCAUUCCAUAACAUCCCCUCUCUCCCCCUUGCUCCCAAGCACCAUCUAUCAUCUUAAAAAUAAGUAUUAGAUUUAAAAAAGAUAAUGACCUCAGAAAGACUUUGGCCAUUUACGCCAGAAAUCAGUUAUAUAUUUAAAAAAUGCAAUGAAGUUCUUGUUCCAUCACCAAAAUGACAUUAAUCACUCGAGUUCAAGAGAUCAGAACAACAAAUGUUCAGUAACAACUUGUAUUGCUGAAAAUACAAGAAAAGAGUUAAUGAAAACGAUGGAAAACGUAAUUUAAAUGUAUAACCAAAUGUUUACGGGAAAGGACCAAAUUCACAAAUCCAAUUGGAAAACAAAAGUUAAAUUCGAGAAUUUGAAAUAAAACAUAAGCUGUAAGUAAUUGGAAAUUGAGGUGAAAACUAAGAUAGGUUUCUUUACCUCUCCGCAAAACAGCUGGAGAACAGAGCUGCAGCUGUGAGCGUCGCCGCAAUAACAAGAACAUAAACAGGGAAAGUCAUUAAUGGAUGAGGAAAAGAUGCUGAGAGAUCUAGAAUUGAUGAAUCUGAGACGAAAUUUAGGAAGAUUUUCCCAGAAUCGGUAGGCCAAUUUUGAGCAUGUUUCAAUUCAGUGGAACAUUUUCUUUAGGUUUUUGUAUAUUAGUGACACAGGCCAUUUCAUUUUUAGACGACAACUCUGUUACAUGGACUGAACCUAUUGUCGCAAUCAGGCAAUUAGUUACAAAGCAGACACUAGCCUGGAGUAUUUCAAUUUUAGUUCACAAUUUCAUAAUGACUCACCAAAUUAUUCUUUGGUGCACUGCUGACAUAUUUGGGCUUAAUGCCUCACAUUUUUUUAUUUUUCAAUUUCUAAAUGUUUUAUUUAUAUUACAUAAUUAACUUCCUAAUUAUAACAGAAACAUAUUUUCUUAGUUUAAAUUUGAAAUUACACCCUGAAAAGUGUAAUCACGGGAUAUCAAAAAAAACUUUUAUACCCUACCAUCCGAAGACGAGAUUAUAACUCCUAAGGGAUUGUUGGUACUUUUGCAUGCUAAUGUUUUUAGGUAUGAUACUCCACCAAAUAAACUAGUUGUAUUUAUUAUCUUUUUAACCUUUGCAUUAACUAAUGCACAAACUAAUCAAAAGAAGAAUUAUAGUACAAAUGAAUGAAGGAAUAUAAUUCUUGCCGCAAGUUUAUCUUUCUUCUCUGUUUCACACUAUCCUUACACUACUCCAUCAUGAUUAAUCAUCCAUAUGUGAUUUCUUAAACACCAUGUGACCCGAUUCAUCCUUCUCAAAAAGCCGUUCAAUCAACUCGUUCCAGUUCUCUUUCAACUUGCUUUUCCCGGAAGAACCGAUUGAAGAUUCCCCACUCGAUCUUUGUGAUUCUUCUCCUUUGGAUCCUUCCUCCGUUUCAUCAAAAGUUCCAUACUGAGAAGGUGAAUAUGCAUGUGGCACAGACAGUGUCACUGCCCUUUGCAGUGCAGCCCUGUACUCCUCUGUAUGUUCUCGGGCCAAAGUCUCCUGCCGCUCCAUCCUCUGCUUUGCUGGGAUCUCCAUGAUUUGAUCUUUCUCUAGCAUUAGCUGAGUUUACGGUAAGGUGUAAGGAUAAACAAAAAUUUCUAAAGGAUUUCAACUGUCAAGAAAUUAAAUGAAUGACAGGGUAAAAGCAAGUGUGUUUUUUUUUUAGGUCUCCAGUAGAACUAUAUAACUAUUUUUAGUCUCCACCAUACACUCAAAGCAUACAAAGAAAGCAUUCCAUAACAUCCCCUCUCUCCCCCUUGCUCCCAAGCACCAUCUAUCAUCUUAAAAAUAAGUAUUAGAUUUAAAAAAGAUAAUGACCUCAGAAAGACUUUGGCCAUUUACGCCAGAAAUCAGUUAUAUAUUUAAAAAAUGCAAUGAAGUUCUUGUUCCAUCACCAAAAUGACAUUAAUCACUCGAGUUCAAGAGAUCAGAACAACAAAUGUUCAGUAACAACUUGUAUUGCUGAAAAUACAAGAAAAGAGUUAAUGAAAACGAUGGGCAAUAGAAGUUCUCAGCACAAGUUCCACCAUUGCACCAUCUACAUACAAAAGAAAAGAAAGGACACACUCACUAGCCUGCUCUCCCACCUAUGCGCAUGCACACACGAAGGCAAAUUACUAAAUAGUGCAGAAUAUGUAAGUUUUCCCCAAACAAACAAUUUUUCUGCUACAGUAAAUCCUCUAAACAAUUGAUAAGAUGAUAAGAAAACUGAAAAUGGCUUCCACCUUACAUGGUAAAAAUCUCAAAAUUGUACGAGACAGAAAACUUACAUCCAGAGCCCUCCUGGCCUCUCUCUCUAUCCAAAUAAUGGCAUGGUCGGAAGUGGCAUUACAGGAUAG
rnacentral:lncRNA from 1 species